GAUGAACGCUGGCGGCGUGCCUAAUACAUGCAAGUCGAGCGAACAGACGAGGAGCUUGCUCCUCUGACGUUAGCGGCGGACGGGUGAGUAACACGUGGAUAACCUACCUAUAAGACUGGGAUAACUUCGGGAAACCGGAGCUAAUACCGGAUAAUAUAUUGAACCGCAUGGUUCAAUAGUGAAAGACGGUUUUCCUUUCAAUUAUCGAUGGAUUCGCGCCGCAUUUGCUAGUUGGUAAGGUAACGGCUUACCAAGGCAACGAUGCGUAGCCGACCUGAGAGGGUGAUCGGCCACACUGGAACUGAGACACGGUCCAGACUCCUACGGGAGGCAGCAGUAGGGAAUCAUCCGCAAUGGGCGAAAGCUUGACGGAGCAACGCCGCGUGAGUGAUGAAGGUCUUCGGAUCGUAAAACUCUGUUAUUAGGGAAGAACAAAUGUGUAAGUAACUAUGCACGUCUUGACGGUACCUAAUCAGAAAGCCACGGCUAACUACGUG
rnacentral:rRNA from 1 species